GUGCUUGCUUUGGCAGCACAUAUAUUAAAACUGAAACGAUACAGAGAUGAUUAGCAUGGCUCCUGCGCAAGGAUGACAUGCACAUUCAUGAAGUGUUCAAUAUUUAA